UGCUAAACAGCUAGCCCAACAACACAACAUCAACCAACCCAUAUACAUAAACCUAAAUAUACCAACCCAAACCUAAGUAAACCAUUUCACCGCUUUAGUAUUGGCGAAAGAAAAAGACAUAAGGAGCAAUAGAAAAAGUACCGCAAGGGAAUGCUGAAAGAGAAAUGAAAUAAUUCAUUAAAGCAAACAAAAGCAGAGAUCAACCCUCGUACCUUUUGCAUCAUGAUUUAGCCAGUGCCCUCAAGCAAAACGUAUUUUAGUUUGAUACCCCGAAACCAGGUGAGCUACUCCAAGACAGCCUAUUAAAGGGCCAACCCGUCUCUGUGGCAAAAGAGUGGGAGGAUCUUAGAGUAGAGGUGACAGACCUACCGAACCUUGUUAUAGCUGGUUGCCCGGGAAUUGAAUAGGAGUUCAGCUUUUCAGCUUCUUUUUUUAAUUAAGUAACUCACUUAUAAAAGCCUAAGAAACUGAAAAAGUUAGUCAAAGGGGGUACAGCCCAUUUGAACAAAGAUACAACUUUAUUUAGGGAGGGUUAAGAUCAUAAUUGAACUAAGGAAAAACACUUAGGUUGGCUUAAGAGCAGCCACCCUGCAGAAAGCGUCAUAGCUCAAGUUUCUAUUAUAACCCACUUAUUCUGAUAAUAUUUCUUAUCCCCCCACCUGCUACCGGGCCGUCCCAUCCCAAACAUGGGAAUGACCCUGCUAAUAUGAGUAAUAAGAGACCCAAGACUCUCUCCCGACACACGUGUAUCUCGGAUCGAACCCACACCGAAAAACAACGGCCCCAAACCAAGAGGGUACUGAAAAAUACUACAAUUAACAAGAAAAAAAUUCAUGUUUAACCGUUAACCCCACACAGGUGUGUCCCCAGGGAAAGGCUAAACGAAAAAGAAGGAACUCGGCAAACCAACCAAGCCUCGCCUGUUUACCAAAAACAUCGCCUCUUGCAAAGCUAAAGAAUAAGAGGUCCUGCCUGCCCUGUGACUAUAUGUUUAACGGCCGCGGUAUUUUAACCGCGCGAAGGUAGCGUAAUCACUUGUCUUUUAAAUGAAGACCUGUAUGAAUGGCUAGACGAGGGCUUAACUGUCUCCUUUUUCAUGCCAAUGAAAUUGAUCUCCCCGUGCAGAAGCGGGGAUAACACCAUAAGACGAGAAGACCCUGUGGAGCUUUAGACACCAAGGGAGACCAUGUCACCAACCCUCUGACAAGAGACCAAACAAGUGGACUACCUUCCCUAAUGUCUUUGGUUGGGGCGACCGCGGAGAAUCACAAAACACCCGCGUGGAAUGGGCACAUCCUGUUCCUUAAAGUAAGAGCCACAGCUCUAACUAGCAGUAAUUCUGACCACCACAGAUCCGGAGCGACCGAUCAACGGACCUAGUUACCCCAGGGAUAACAGCGCAAUCCUCUUAUAGAGUUCAUAUCGACAAGGGGGUUUACGACCUCGAUGUUGGAUCAGGACAUCCUAAUGGCGCAGCCGCUAUUAAGGGUCCGUUUGUUCAACGGUUAAAGUCCUACGUGAUCUGAGUUCAGACCGGAGUAAUCCAGGUCAGUUUCUAUCUAUGAUAUUCUCCUUUCCAGUACGAAAGGACCGCAAGGAGGAGGCCUCUCGAUUGGUAUGCCUCACCCUCACCUAAUGAAGACAUCUAAAUUUAGGCAAGAGGGCAUAGCCCCCAGCCCGAGAUAAUGGCAU
rnacentral:rRNA from 1 species